UCCGGUUUGUCACCGGCAGUCCCAUUAGAGUGCCCAACUAAAUGUAGCAACUAAUGGCAAGGGUUGCGCUCGUUGCGGGACUUAACCCAACAUCUCACGACACGAGUUGACGACAGCCAUGCAGCACCUGUGUUCCCGCCAGCCGAACUGAAGAACCCCAUCUCUGGGGCCCAUACGGGACAUGUCAAAGGCUGGUAAGGUUCUGCGCGUCGCUUCGAAUUGAACCACAUGCUCCACCGCUUGUGCGGGCCCCCGUCAAUUCCUUUGAGUUUUAAUCUUGCGACCGUACUUCCCAGGCGGCACGUUUAACGCGUUAGCUACGCCACAAAAGGGGUCGAUUCCUUUUACAGCAAACGUGCACCGUUUACGGCUAGGACUAC
rnacentral:misc_RNA from 1 species